rnacentral:lncRNA from 1 species
AGGGCGAAAAUCGGGGUUUGUAUUCUAGGGACCAUUUCUCACCUAUAAUUCUGUAAUUAUACCAACUAAAAAUCUGUAAUCGAACAAAUCCUUUCCUGCAAAUUUCGAUUUUGACUGUGACGAAAAGGAACCACCUGGACACCUUGUUGUUUUAUAAUGUGUAUUACCUGUAAAAAAAAGUAAGGAUUUUCUAAAGGGUUCGGGUAUGUCAGGACCAGUUACAUAACCUACAGCUUUUUGGUCAAAUGAAUAUCCAGUAUCUAGCGGCCUAGAUUGCCUGGGUUAUGAUCUACGUUCAGCGUUUAAAAUACGUUGUACGAGACCUUACGACGCUUUUUAACCAUUGUGCGGAGUUACAUUAUGUAACCUCAUACAGCGGUUAAAAAGCGCUGUAUGUAUUAAAAUUUGUUAUAAUCCUGGUCGCUGGAUAUUCAUCUAACGGCCAAAAAGUUGUAGGCUAUUUAACAGGUCCCUGACAUAUGUUUUGUCAAAGCCUCGACCCUUUUCUAAAAGUGUUUAUCAUUGAUAUAAUUAAAAUUGUUACGUGAUAUUUCACUUAUGUGUAUCAAAUUAACACAGAGAGUGAUUAUGCAUAUAUACUAGUGAAGUUUAUGUGUUUAUUGAUAGUACAAUUUCUUCUCUCUGGGAGGACUUAUUAUGGCAUAAUUGAAAUAGAAAUUUAGCAGAACUAUGAUGUUCUAGCAUCGCUGAUUAUCACCAGGUGCUACACCAAAUUUACUACAAUAUGAGUUGUAAAGACUAACACGCGAGUUGACAGCAGCCGGUCUUUUACCGUCGCACUCAAUGCUGUUGAUGGCACGGAUAGUUGCCCCGAAACCUUGGGUAGUAACAGACUGAACGUUGACCUUCCAGUACCACAAGGCCGUCUUGAAGGACAACACUGCAUCUGAAGCCACGAUGUCUGGAUUGUUUAGCCCAUCGAAGUCAUUACUCUUUCCAGCAUCAAUGUAGUUAUAGUUCCAUGUUAGCUGAAGAGGGCCGCGGCCAAAGUAGUACACAUUUGGGUUGCAAGGGUACUCUGCCGUUGAUUGGCAGUAAUUGUGGUCGCGACCAUCUGUCUCUUCUUUAUGGCAGAAAUCUGCGCUCAAAUUUAGUAAUUAUGUCAGAACAUUUUCGAUAAGCAACGAAACAUUAAAUUAAAAGUUGAAACUAAGGAGCACGAUUGGAUAGCCCAAAUGGUGGGUUUAACCUCUAUUGUCCCCGGAUACCCGGGUUCGAUUCUGGCUCAACUCGAGAAGUAUUAGAACAGAUACUCAUUUGUAAGACAUAUAAGUCUAAAUUAUCAAAAAAAAGGUUAAAACUAAGAAUUAUAGAUUUAGUUGCCAAAAAAUUUAAGUGUAAAGGAUAGAAUUUAUACAUCCGGUCUCAUGGGUAGCAUGGGCAAAAAAAGCUGCAAUCUCGCGCUUAGAAUCAUCAGCAGAACCAGCAGUUCCAAACGAGGAGUAGGAUUGAAGUGCAUUAAGAAACGCUGAUCUGGUAUAAAAGUUCUUCCCGUCGCAAUCUCCUGUGGCUUGACUAAUGAUUCCAUUAAAGAAAUCGUCAGAGACAAUAUCAGCAACGGAAACACCAUUACUACCACCCCCACUUGGUGCAGAAUUAGUGCAGGGACCAGCUUGGCAUCCCUCGCCACAAUAAUCGGAGGUAGUGCCGCAGUAACCGUACUUGCUGCAGCAGAGGCCUGCAGCACAGUUGCAGUUCUGGGCAGAAACUAGUGAGGCGGCAAUGAAGAUAGCGGUUAGGAAAAUGAAAAAGGUUUUCAUUUUGUUGUUUGUAGUAGAGGAUGAUGGAUAAUAAGGUUGUGCAUGGAGGGUUUUAUAGGCCAAGGCCCAAGGCAUUAAGUGGGUUUUGGAAAUUGGAGGCAAGAGUUUUAAUAUUGUGCUAGUAUAAUUUGACUAGGUAAGAGCAACUUCAUCAACUAUUUACCAUUCUUCUCAUAAAUAAUAUUAUUAAAUUAGAUCUUAGUUUUUUAAGAUACAAAAUCAUUUUUACACUCCAAAAACCCUCGUCAGAUUCGGACUUUAUGUUUUUAAUAUACUUCUGUGAGUACUAAUCCGAUCAGCACUUGCACAUUAAUUAUUCAGUACCAAUUUCCAAGGAUAGUACCAGGAGGUAAAGGCCAGUAAAAUGUGAGAAAAGCUAUAGUAUAUUGAUACUUCCUCCGUCUCAAAAUAAAUAUCUUUUUUGAUUUUUAACUAAUUAAAUUGACUAUAUAUUUUUCUAAUUAAUAUAUAGAGAAAAGUUCUAUGGAGACCACGUUUUCAUUGGAGACCUUGAAGACCACUUAUAUUCUGCAAUUAAAACAUUAUCAAAUUUAUUGUUUUGCGAAUUACAUUCGAUAAAUAUGACUAUUUCAUCGAAAAUGUUGAAAAUUAUUUAUGCUAAACAAGAAGAACAUGUAUGUAUUGCAAGAUCAACAAAUGUUCUGCACACUAAACAUGGUUUUGUAAAAUAAUAUGUUUUUUAGUGUUUUAUUUGUCAAAUGUAUAAAAUUUGCAAGAUUGUCAAUAAAAUAAUAAUCUUUGUAGAACAUGAUUCGAAAAAUAAUAUAUUUUGCAAUGUUUUUAUGGAGUAUUUUAGUUGCAGUACAUAAGUGGUCUCCAAGUCUCCAAUGAAAACGUGGUCUCCAUAGAACUUAUCCCUUAAUAUAUAUUAUAUAAUUGAAAGAAGAAAAAAAAUAUUGUUGGAAAGUACAUUUAUUCUUUUUAAAAUGUAGUUUCUUAUUUUGUAAUAUAAUACAUAAAUGUUUUUUAAUAAACAUUCAAAAUUGGUCAAUUUGACUUCUUGAAAAGCGAGUGGGACAUGUAAAUUAAGACGGAGGGAUUAAUGAGGAAGAUAGAUAGACUCCUCACUAUUGAGGAGAGUUAUGAAGCUCCUAAGAAUCUCAGAGCAUCUCCAACGCCAAUAAUAUAAAAUGUGGCUCUUAGUAAGUUAAUAUAAUGGAAAACAUGAGAACUCCAAUCCUACAUUUUAUACUUAACUCUUAAUUCACAUUUUAUAUUUAUUUUAUAUAAAUGAGAGGAAAAAGGUAACUUGAAUAGAGAGAAAAUUGGAAAGAAAUUAAUAUUAUAUUGAGUUAAGAGCUACUAGAUGCUCUUUAAAAGAAAGCAGAGAGAGUAGGCUCUUAAAUUUUUAAAGAGCUCUAAUUUUUGACUUGCUCUUUAAAUUUGGGGUUAAGAGCUGGUUUAAAACGCGUAUUGGAGAUGCUCUUAGGAAUCUGUUGGAGGUAUGUUUUUCUUCAACUUCUUCAAUUUACAGAUAAAGAGCUUGCAUAGAGAGUUUGUUGGAGUUGCUCCGGAUAUUCCUAUUAUAAAUGUUUUAGCAUCGCUGAAACUCAAGUCGCGGUAACAUGUACGUCAUACACACAUAAGAGUGUUUGGCUUAACUUAAAAUAAAUAGUUCUGGACUUCCUUUAACACUUUAAACUGUUUCUAAUGUUACCAAAAUUUGCAGGGUUAAAAGCCAAGCCUAUUUCAUUUCUAUGACAAUGGAGUAAGUGUUUUUAUGUAUGAAUAUUUAUAAGAUCGAAUGGACAAGUAUCGAAAAGAAAAUAAGAGACAAGAACACAAGCAAUUUUGGUGACGCGGAAAACCCCUUGUAAAAGGGUAAAAACCGCGGGUGGAAAUGUACCAGCCAAAUUUCCACUAUAAUGUUUAAGUAUGAGCUUACAAGCAAGAAAAAUACAAGAUACAAGCAUAAAAACUGUAGUCGUCGUCAUCAGAAGAUGUUCCCGUCGGCAGCAGUGCGUACCCGUCGGCAGGAAGACUUGAAGGAGAUGAAGAUGUAGAGCUCAGUUAAUAGAAGAUGAAGAAGCUAUGGUGGGUGUAUUGUAGUUGUCCGAUAUGUAAGAGAUAAGUAUAAUAUAUAUAAUGUGGUUUUAGGGCCUGGGCUUUAGGUUUAUACAUAAGAAAAGUGGAGUUGUGAAGGUGUGUAGAUGAUAAGUAUGCUUGAGUAGAUGUAGAUGACUUGUGUUUAUCUCAUCUUCUUGUGGAAUUUAUAGCUGAUUUUGAGCUUAAACCGUGGGCUAUUUUAUAGGAAGGUGGGUUGCAUAAGUAUAGGAAAGUGAUAAGGUUGUUACCAACCUUAUAUCCUAUUUUUCAGGAGUAGUUAGAAGACAAGUUGAAUGGUUCCGCAGUCGUCCGUCGUGUCAGUGCACUUCCCGUCAUGUCCUGACGCCUGUAAAAUCUAGGUAGAACAAAUGUAAUGUUUGGUAAAAAAAACAGAAGUGCUUAUUUUGAAUUUUUAAAAUCAGAAGCUGGAAGCACUAAUCAUUUUGGGACAUUUUUAGUGAUUUGCAUUUUAUUGUGAAGUUUUUAAAUUUUUGAUAUGUAAUAAAUUUUAUUUAUUAAUAAAAUUUCUAUCAUUUUGAUAAUUUGAUUUUUUUUUUAAUUUAUAAAUCUAAAUUACCAAACACUGAAAUUACCCGAAUUUUUGAAAUGAUUUAUACGUCAAGUUCACUUAUCAUUUGUAUCCAUUUUUUAUUUUAAAUAAUAAAUCAUAUUUUUUCAACUUUUCUACUUUAAAUAAUAAAUAAUUUCUUUUGAGUUACAGCCGCGUAGACUUUGACUCGGUGGACUGGACCUGCCCCUACCGGUCUACCAUAUUCCGUCGAUAUUACGGAGUAGAAAAGCACAAUUUCUAAUCCUAUAUACUCUAGUCCAAUAUAAUAUACCUGUGAGAUUAUUUUGUUAAAUCAUAAAAAGUCUCGGUCGCAAUCGUGUAUUGAAGGGAGAUAAUAAUAUUCUUCUAGGAAAUCUCAGUAUAAAAUAUCAAUCUCAAUUUCGCAGAAGGUAUAUAUUUAGUUAUAUAUAUAUAUAUNNNNNNNNNNNNNNNNNNNNNNNNNNNNNNNNACACACACACACACACACACACACACACACACACACACACACACACACACACACACUAUAUAUAUAUAUAUAUAUAUAUAUAUAUAUAUAUGAGUAAGGUUUGAGGGAGAACCUCACUAUCAAGAGAAUCGAGAGAACUCUCAUUAGAGCCAUUGAUUUUUGGAUAACAUUUAUAUACUGCCUUUUAUUAUUUCAAUUAGAAUAUAUUAAAAAAUCUAUUGAUCAAGGGCAUUUUGGAACACAACAAAAAUGUUAUUAUUACGAAAUCUUUUAAAUAUGGCAUCUUGCAUCUUUUUAUCUGCCAAUCAAAUAAUACCAUUUAUAGAUUAUUACAGAAUCCGGAAUCCAAAUCUUAUAUUUCUAACAUAUAUUCUAUUUUUGGCAUUUCUCACAACUCAAUAUAUCAAUAAAAACGUAAGUUAAUACACAUUUCUCAUAUAUAUAUUAUAUAUGAUCGAUUAACAAAACACUUAAUAACAUUUUUAGUAGAAUCUUAAAGUAUUUAUUAUAAACUUAAUCAUAUAAUAAAAAACUUAUAUUAAAUUUUAUAUUGUUAAUAGAACCUUUAUUACAAUAUCAAUAAAAUUAUCAAAAAAUCUUUGAUACACAUAAAUUAUAUUAAAAAAUUUUCAUUAUAUAGAAAUUUUAAUGCAUCAAUUUGUAGAAUCUUCAGUAACAUGUCACUUAGAAUAGUAGAAUCUUCAUUAUCAUUAACAUUUUUAAAAAUAUAUUUAUAAAUUAAAAUCUUAAAAAAUAAUUAAUAUUAAAAUAGUAGAGUUAUCAGUGAAACACUUAAUAGAAUCUCAAUACUUUUGGAACACAACAAAAAUGUUAUUAUUUCGAAAUCUUUUAAAUAUGGCAUCUUGCAUCUUUUUAUCUGCCAAUCAAAUAUUACCAUUUAUAGAUUAUUACAGAAUCUGGAAUCCAAAUUCAUUAAUGUAUCUCUAAAUGAUUUUAAUUUAAAUAAAAUUUUGAAUAGAUCACAUAACAAAAUUAUAUAAUAUAUAUGAUCAAAUAACGACUCAUCUAAUAAUUUUUUUAGUAGAAUCUUAAUGUACCUUUUAAAAUACAUUUAAUCACAUAAUUAAAAAAAUGAUAUUGAUUCNUAGAAUAUCAAUAAAAUUUUUAGAAUCUUAAUUUAUUAGAAUCUAAUCCACAAUAAAAAUAUAUCAUAAAUCUUGAUUAUCAAUAUAAAAACUUUAAUACAUCAAUAAGUAGAAUCUUCAUUAAUGUAUCUCUAAAUGAUUUUAAUUUAAAUAAAAUUUUGAAAAGAUCACAUAACAAAAUUAUAUAAUAUAUAUGAUCAAAUAACGACUCAUCUAAUAAUUUUUUUAGUAGAAUCUUAAUGUACCUUUUAAAAUACAUUUAAUCACAUAAUUAAAAAAAUGAUAUUGAUUCCUGUAUUGUUAAUGGAACCUUUAUUAUAAUUUUAAUAUUGUUAUUAAAGAAUAAGUAUAUAGUGCAUCAAUUAGUAGAAUCGUAUAUAGUAAAUUUAAUACAUCAAUUAGUUGAAUCGUAAGUAAUGUAUCAUUAAAUCUAAUUUUAUUAAAUUAAAAUUUAAUUUAAAAAACACAUAAAAAAUCAUAUUAUAUAUAGAUAUACAUAAUAUAUUAUAUAUAACUAGCUAAAUGAAACACCUAAUGAAAUAUAUUUUAUUAUGGAUAAAAUGCUUAUAAGAAUCUUUGUAAAAGAAUAAAUAAUGUAAAGAUUUUACAAAACAUCUCCGAAUAUUGUUUUACAAAAUCUUCUAAUAUUUUAAAUGUUGUACGAAAUUUGGAAAUAGUAAUGAAGAUAUUUUACUAAGAUUCCGUUAAGUGUUUUUUCAUAUUUUAAUUAAAAGAGGAAUAUGAAAAAUAUGGAGCAUUAUAUAGAAUUUUCAUAUUUCAAUUGAGAAAAAAUACAGAAGAUAUAGAAGCAUUAAAUCAAUGAUACGAAAGAUAUGUAAGCAUUAAAUAUGAAUCUCAAUAAAUACGGAUAAAAAACUUAAAAGAAUCUUAGUAAAAUAAUAAAUAAUGAAAAUAUAUUACAAAAUAUCUCCAAAUUUUUUUUACAAAGUCUCCUAAUAUUUUAAAUCUUUUACGGAAUCUAGAAAUAGUAAGUAAUGGAAAUAUUUUACCAAUGGAUAUUUUACUAAGAUUCCAAUAAGUAUUUUUCCAUAUUUCAUUUAAGAGAAGAAUAUGAAAAAUAUAGAGCAAUAUAUAUAACUUCCAUAUUUCAAUUGAAAAAAAAUAAAGAAGAUAUAGAAGCAUUAAAUCAAAGAUAUGGAAAAUAUGAAAGCAUUAAAUAAGAAUCUGAAUAAAUAUGGUAAUAAAUUGUGAUUUAUUUCUUGUUUUUGAUGCUAUAGAAAUACCUUGAGUCUCACUAGAUUUGAUUGAUAUUAUAAAGAUAUUAUUUUUGAAUAGUAUUAAAUUAAGAUUUGUAAUCAACGGUGGAUGAAGGAGUUUUCUGGUUCUCUCGAUUAUUUGGGUUCUCUCAGGAUCCUACCCCUAUAUUAUAUAUAUUUUAUAUACUUCAUGAAUAGGACAAAAUUACUUAUAAAUUUUCUAUUGAAAAAAUACAACUCUUUUUUAAAUAAUAACCUCUGAAAUGAUAUAUUUAUCUAAUCUUAAGAAUUUAAUAGUUUUAUUGUAGACAUCUCGAUUAAUUAAUAAUUAAUUAACUAGUAAAUCAUGAUCAAUUAAUAUUUGAAUAAAAAAGUUUGUGCUUAGAGAAUAUUAGUGAUAGUACAUAUUGAAUCUCGAUUAACUAAUAAUUGUAAUAAAUUAAUAUUUCCUCCUUCUUUUUUUAGUUGUCAUAUUUGUAAAAAAAAUUGUCUGUCAGAUUUUCUUUACUUGUAUUUGAAUAUCGAUUGCAUCUUCACUUUUGACGAUCUUAUACUUAUCAUUAGAAUAUAUUCUUUCACUAUAAAGCUGUAAAUAAUAAAUAUUUUUGUAGAACAAUGAUGUUUUAGAGAAGAAAUGAUGUGUACACAAAAAAUGAUCUUAAAAAAGAAGAAACAAAGGCGAUAUAAAAAUAAGAUGAGAUUUAUCAUUAUAAGGGAGAACGUUUAAGUUAUUCUCUUUUUUUUUUUUGUCAUAAGACUUUCACGUCAGUGAAUUGUACUGAAAUACAAUACCGAAAGAAUCAGAAGAGCUUUUUUCAUACAUAAAAACUUUCAUCUAACCAAAGAGCAUGUCAAAAACCCCACAAAAAUUAGAUAAAAAUUUAUGAUGCCUGAAAAAAAACACUCGAAAGAAAACAAAAUCUGCGGAACUAAGAAAGGAGAGCUUUCAAUCAAUAAAGUCUAUCGACUAACCGAAUGUCAUGCAGAGAUGGCCCCGGAAGUUUAGCCAAUAAAACUUUAAAGACUGAGAAAAAAACCCAGAUGAAGGACAAAAAUCCGCGGAAAGGAAGAAAGUAAGGUGGAGAGGAAAAAAAGAGGAAGAAAGAAAGAAACAAGCAUAAAAGAUUAUGCUAGGCACCAAAACAAAAUCAUCUAAAAUGACACAGUCAUUAAAAUAACGACAACCAAAAUCGCAAUAUACGAUCAUGAAGCCAUCAAUCAUGGCACUCCCUCAAAAGAAACACAAAAAUUCAAACUAAAGAUACAUGUCCAAAACACAAUUUACGAUAUAAAGUCUAUAAAUCUAGUAAUAAACGAGACACAAAAUUCAAUUACGAAAAAAUAACCGAUAACAGAAGACAUAAGACAAAUACAUUAAAAAACAAUAAGAAUAAAGAUUUUGAACUCAUACCAUUAUCGUGGGGUCAAUUCACACGAUCCUUACCUUACCGAAUAUAAAUAUAUGUAGAUACCAGAAAUGGCUAAAACUGAAUCGCAGUCGCUAACUCGUCAUUGACUCAUCCCAAUUGAUUCAUCACCAGAUCAAAAUCUUGCAAAACGAGUAGAUCUAAUAUCCAAGUACAGAUCCGUUGAGGAAUAUUAUUGAGAAAAUAAGAAUAAAUCAAGAGAAAUUAAUUGAUUCGGAGUUUUUCAUCAGUGAAAAUCGAUGGAACUCCGACGAUGGCUAGAAGAGAAGUGAGGGUUUUCUUUCUUUCUUGGUUACUUGAUAAUUCUUUGUAUCGGCAACGUUUAAGUUAUUCUAGUUGUAUGAACAUGUGAUAAUAAAAAAAUAAAUAAGGGUAGUUGUGGUAAAAAAAAAUUGCUAAAUUAAAAUUUUAUAAAAAGAAAAAGAUACUAGGUCAUACGCCGUGAUAAGAAAUUAACAAGGACCAAAGGUAAAUAAAACAGAGCUUCCACUAAUUAAGAUUACAGAUGAGUAAUUCACUAUAAAUCAAACUAUGACUUAACACAAGAGCAGAAUAGUAUUAGGAUCAGCUUGGGGAUGUCUUCUAAAUUCUUUACAGGUGUGUAAAGCUUUUCUCUAACUUUACUUCGAAUUUGAGAAAUAAGAGCAGCAUUGUUGAAUAUUCAAUUAUUUCUCUCUUUCCAUAUAGCAAAGAACACAGCUGUGAUGAAUAAAUAAGCAAUGCAUUUUUCAAACCGCGGACAAUCAUUGAGAAAAAUUCGGCCAUUAAUGAAGUCACUCCAUCUAGUGCACACUUGAAUAGGACAAGCAGAGAGGACAGUAUUGGAAUAAGGACAAUCACUAAAAAUAUGAGGGUGAAACUCAGCCGCAUUCGCGCAUAAAACACAAACAGGAUCAGUACUCGUGCCAAGCGAAGCAUGCGGUCUUUAGUCAAAAGUCUUUGUUGGAGAAUAAGCCACGCCAUAACCGCAAACUUAGGGACGGAGAAAGCAUUCCAGAGGGGGGGGGGAUUUAUUCGUAGCAAUGUCAUUAUAAAUGACAGAGAUAGAAACCUUUGGAUGCCGCUCUCGGAGCCUUCUAGCAGAAGAGUAGUUACUAGUGCCAAUAUUCCACUGGCCAUUCUCAUGAUAAAAUUCACAAGGUCAAGAGUUGAAGAUACAAGCGGAGAUUUUAGACCACUAUCGAACUGCUCAAAUAAAGGUUUCUUGUUGCACCACGGAUCAUGCCAAAGCGAGAAAUUCGAGUGCCUCCAACCCUUAUAUGUAAUUUUUUGGAGAGCAAGAGUGCGGAGAGAUAGAAUUUUCUUCCAGCCCCAAGCACAUUUUCUAGGAAGAGAAGCAGUCCAGAAGUUCUUAUGCUUGAGUUCAUAGGAGUAGUCCAGAAGUUCUUAUGCUUGAGUUCAUAGGAGUAUAUCCACUGGACCCAAAUAGAAUCAACCUUAGUUAUGACGCGCCAUCACUUGAAUUUUAAAAAAAAAAACAGAAGCUCUUGAAACAUCCUUUAAAACAAAACAUGGGGAGUAUUUGAAUUAUUGACUGAUCCUAAAAUUAGCCCAUGUCAGCUUGUUCCUAUCAAUAGGGGUGGCAUUUAGGGUGAUAAAUCGAGUUAUGUGUCGGGUUGUCUUACCCGUUUCAUUUUUUGAGUCAACCCGAACCCGACCCGAAUUUGAAAUGGGUUGAAAAUUUCAACCCGAACCCGACCGUUCAGUACCCGAUCAACCCGAAAAUGAUCCGUUCUAACUCAAAAUUUAUUAAAAAAUAAUUAUUUUAAUUUUACUAAUUAUAUUUAUUUUAAUAUAUUAAAAAAAUAUAAAUAAUAAUUUAAUGAGAUUAUAUGUGAAUAAAAAUAUUUAUAAUAAUAUAUAAAUAUAUCAUAAAUAUAUUUAAUUUUGUAAUAUAAAUAUAUAAUUAAUAUAAUAUAUUCUAUAUAUAAAUAUUUUGGGUCGGUUUCAGGUACACUGAGUCAACCCGAACCCGACCCAAGUUUUUCGGGUAAAAAAUUAUUGACCCUAAUUCGUAUUUUUACGAGUCGAGUUCGUGUCGGAUUUCGGGUCAUGUUUUAUUUUGUCACCCCUAGUUCCUAACAUUCCCAUAUGGGAAAGGGUGGAUUACAUCCGACAUCGCCCUAAGUAGGGCUGAGCAAAAAACCGAUUUGAAACCGAAACUGAACCGAAACCGGGAAAAAUCGGAGAAAACCGAUCCGAAUAUAACCGAUCCGAAACCGAACCGAAAAAUUAAAAACCGAACCGAUUUAAAUGGUUGGGUUCCGGUUAUACCUCGUCACCGAACCGAUAUAAACCGAACCGAACCGAUUAUUAAAAUAAUAAUUAAAUAAUAAAUCUUAUAUAUAUAAUAGAUAAGAACAUAUAAAUUAUGGACUAUUGGUAGUCUACUCUUUUUUAGCCCUGCAUUUCUUAAAAUUGAUUAGCAAGCAGCAUUCCUUCCUUUCAGUAAGUAAGCAGAGAAUAAAAGUGAAACUGUUACAUUGAUUGCAAGUUUGAAAUUUACUUUACAUAUGAAAUGCAUGAAAGCUUUGUGGUUGAAACUUGAACUAUUGCUGUUACUAGCUUACUGCCCCUGGUUACUGCUGUUCCAAAUUACAGUAUACUUAAAUUUUCUGCUUCAUUUCAGUGAAGUUCUGAAUACGUUAAAUAAUUAUUUUUUCUGGAUUACGCGUUUAAAAUUGUCUUCGUAUUAUUUCUCAAUUUAUAGUUGUCGGUUUUAUAACCGAAACCGAGCCGAUUAUAACCGAACCGGACUUUUUAAACCGAAACCGAAUCCGAAUCCGAACUGGCGGUUGCAGUUUUCGAUUUUAAAAACCGAUAAUAUAUGGUUGCGGUUCCGGUUUUAGCCGGAAACCGAGCCGAAAAAGUCACUUGAACACUUUAUUCAUGAUUGGAAAAAGUCGAUUUUCAAAUUCAGAUGGAAGGGCGAAAACCGGGGCUUGUAUUUUAGCGACCAUUUCUCACAUAUAAUUCUGUAAUUUUACCAACUAAAAAUUUGUAAUCAACAAACCUUCUCCUGCAAAUUUCGAUUUUGACUGUGACGAAAAGGAAUUACCUGGACACCUUCUUGUUUAUCAUGUGUAUUAGUUGUAAAAGUAAGGAUUUGAUGUGUUUAUUGAUAGUGCAAUUUCUUCUCUCUGGGAGGACUUAUUAUGGCAUAAAUGAAAUUGAAAUAUAGUAGAACUAUGAUGUUCUAGCAUCCCUGAUUAUCACCAGGUGCUACACCAAAUUUACUGCAAUAUGAAUUGUAAAGACUGACACGCGAGUUGACAGCAUCCGGGCUUCCACCGUUGCACUCAAUGCUGUUGAUGGCACGGAUGGUUGCCCCGAAACCUUGGCUAGUAACAGACUGAACUUUGACCUUCCAGUACCACAAGGCCGUCUUGAAGGACACCACUGCAUCUGAAGCCACGAUGUCCGGAUUGUUUAGCCCAUCAAAAUCAUUACUGNUUCCUAACAUUCCCAUAUGGGAAAGGGUGGAUUACAUCCGACAUCGCCCUAAGUAGGGCUGAGCAAAAAACCGAUUUGAAACCGAAACUGAACCGAAACCGGGAAAAAUCGGAGAAAACCGAUCCGAAUAUAACCGAUCCGAAACCGAACCGAAAAAUUAAAAACCGAACCGAUUUAAAUGGUUGGGUUCCGGUUAUACCUCGUCACCGAACCGAUAUAAACCGAACCGAACCGAUUAUUAAAAUAAUAAUUAAAUAAUAAAUCUUAUAUAUAUAAUAGAUAAGAACAUAUAAAUUAUGGACUAUUGGUAGUCUACUCUUUUUUAGCCCUGCAUUUCUUAAAAUUGAUUAGCAUGCAGCAUUCCUUCCUUUCAGUAAGUAAGCAGAGAAUAAAAGUGAAACUGUUACAUUGAUUCCAAGUUUGAAAUUUACUUUACAUAUGAAAUGCAUGAAAGCUUUGUGGUUGAAACUUGAACUAUUGCUGUUACUAGCUUACUGCCCCUGGUUACUGCUGUUCCAAAUUACAGUAUACUUAAAUUUUCUGCUUCAUUUCAGUGAAGUUCUGAAUACGUUAAAUAAUUAUUUUUUCUGGAUUACGCGUUUAAAAUUGUCUUCGUAUUAUUUCUCAAUUUAUAGUUGUCGGUUUUAUAACCGAAACCGAGCCGAUUAUAACCGAACCGGACUUUUUAAACCGAAACCGAAUCCGAAUCCGAACUGGCGGUUGCAGUUUUCGAUUUUAAAAACCGAUAAUAUAUGGUUGCGGUUCCGGUUUUAGCCGGAAACCGAGCCGAAAAAGUCACUUGAACACUUUAUUCAUGAUUGGAAAAAGUCGAUUUUCAAAUUCAGAUGGAAGGGCGAAAACCGGGGCUUGUAUUUUAGCGACCAUUUCUCACAUAUAAUUCUGUAAUUUUACCAACUAAAAAUUUGUAAUCAACAAACCUUCUCCUGCAAAUUUCGAUUUUGACUGUGACGAAAAGGAAUUACCUGGACACCUUCUUGUUUAUCAUGUGUAUUAGUUGUAAAAGUAAGGAUUUGAUGUGUUUAUUGAUAGUGCAAUUUCUUCUCUCUGGGAGGACUUAUUAUGGCAUAAAUGAAAUUGAAAUAUAGUAGAACUAUGAUGUUCUAGCAUCCCUGAUUAUCACCAGGUGCUACACCAAAUUUACUGCAAUAUGAAUUGUAAAGACUGACACGCGAGUUGACAGCAUCCGGGCUUCCACCGUUGCACUCAAUGCUGUUGAUGGCACGGAUGGUUGCCCCGAAACCUUGGCUAGUAACAGACUGAACUUUGACCUUCCAGUACCACAAGGCCGUCUUGAAGGACACCACUGCAUCUGAAGCCACGAUGUCCGGAUUGUUUAGCCCAUCAAAAUCAUUACUGUUUCCGGCAUCAAUGUAGUUAU